AAGGUCGGGCCAUGGUGGGGCAGAGGUUGGGAAGAUGGCGUGGCGAGGCUGGGCGCAGAGAGGCUGGGGCUGCGGCCAGGCGUGGGGUGCGUCGGUGGGCGGCCGCAGCUGCGAGGAGCUCACUGCGGUCCUAACCCCGCCGCAGCUCCUCGGACGCAGGUUUAACUUCUUUAUUCAACAAAAAUGCGGAUUCAGAAAAGCACCCAGGAAGGUUGAACCUCGAAGAUCAGACCCAGGGACAAGUGGUGAAGCAUACAAGAGAAGUGCUUUGAUUCCUCCUGUGGAAGAAACAGUCUUUUAUCCUUCUCCCUAUCCUAUAAGGAGUCUCAUAAAACCUUUAUUUUUUACUGUUGGGUUUACAGGCUGUGCAUUUGGAUCAGCUGCUAUUUGGCAAUAUGAAUCACUGAAAUCCAGGGUCCAGAGUUAUUUUGAUGGUAUAAAAGCUGAUUGGUUGGAUAGCAUAAGACCACAAAAAGAAGGAGACUUCAGAAAGGAGAUUAACAAGUGGUGGAAUAACCUAAGUGAUGGCCAGCGGACUGUGACAGGUUUGUGUUAGCUUACACGUUUUAACCAUUCAAGGGAAGAGAAAUCAAACCAAAAGGUAUUAUAGCUGCAAAUGUCCUUGUAUUCUGUUUAUGGAGAGUACCUUCUCUGCAGCGGACAAUGAUCAGAUAUUUCACAUCGAAUCCAGCCUCAAAGGUCCUUUGUUCUCCAAUGUUGCUGUCAACAUUCAGUCAUUUCUCCUUAUUUCACAUGGCAGCAAAUAUGUAUGUUUUGUGGAGCUUCUCUUCCAGCAUAGUGAACAUUCUGGGUCAAGAGCAGUUCAUGGCAGUGUACCUAUCUGCAGGUGUUAUUUCCAAUUUUGUCAGUUACGUGGGUAAAGUUGCCACAGGAAGAUAUGGACCAUCACUUGGUGCAUCUGGUGCCAUCAUGACAGUCCUCGCAGCUGUCUGCACUAAGAUCCCAGAAGGGAGGCUUGCCAUUAUUUUCCUUCCGAUGUUCACGUUCACAGCAGGGAAUGCCCUGAAAGCCAUUAUCGCCAUGGAUACAGCAGGAAUGAUCCUGGGAUGGAAAUUUUUUGAUCAUGCGGCACAUCUUGGGGGAGCUCUUUUUGGAAUAUGGUAUGUUACUUACGGUCAUGAACUGAUUUGGAAGAACAGGGAGCCGCUAGUGAAAAUCUGGCAUGAAAUAAGGACUAAUGGCCCCAAAAAAGGAGGUGGCUCUAAGUAAAACUGGGAUUGGACAGUAGUGGUGCAUCUGGUCCUUGCCGCCUGAGAGCCCCAGGAGACAUCGGCUAGAGUGACCAUGGCUAUGCUCCCGUCUGGAAGAUGCCAGCAUCUGGCCUCCCACUGUUUUCAGCUGUGUCCCCCAGUCCGUGUCUUUUUAGAAUGUGAAUGAUGAUAAAGUUGUGAAAUAAAGGUUUCUAUCUAGUUUGUAAGCAGAUGUGUGUGUUCUCUCUUUAAGGGGCCGACACGGCUCUGGCAUUUUGCUUUGGUUGUUGCAUUGACAGGACCUGGGGAGAGUGCACCCUGAAAGGCCUGAUCAGAACAUGAAGGC